UACGAGAAGGUUAGGUUAGUUCUUAGUCGUCACGAGACGAACGCUGGCGGCAGGCUUAACACAUGCAAGUUGAACGGGAUUUGGUGGUAGCUUGCUAUCAUUAAUGAGAGUAGCGCACUGGUGAGUAACACGUGGGAACAUGCCUUUUGGUGGGGGACAACAGUUGGAAACGACUGCUAAUACCGCAUAAGCCCGGAAGGGGAAAGAUUUAUUGCCGAAAGAUUGGCCCGCGGAAGAUUAGGUAGUUGGUGGGGUAAAGGCCUACCAAGCCGACGAUCUAUAGCUGGUCUGAGAGGACGAACAGCCACAUUGGAACUGAGACACGGUCCAGACUCCUACGGGAGGCAGCAGUGAGGAAUAUUGGGCAAUGGAGGAAACUCUGAACCCCCAGCCAUGCCGCGUGAGUGAAGAAGGUUUUCGAAUUGUAAAGCUCUUUCGGGUGUGACGAUGAUGACGGUAACACCUAAAGAAGCCCCGGCAAACUUCGUGCCAGCAGCGGC
rnacentral:rRNA from 1 species